UACGAAGGGGGCUAGCGUUGCUCGGAAUCACUGGGCGUAAAGGGUGCGUAGGCGGGUCUUUUAAGUCAGGGGUGAAAUCCUGGAGCUCAACUCCAGAACUGCCUUUGAUACUGAGGAUCUUGAGUUCGGGAGAGGUGAGUGGAACUGCGAGUGUAGAGGUGAAAUUCGUAGAUAUUCGCAAGAACACCAGUGGCGAAGGCGACUCACUGGCCCGAUACUGACGCUGAGGCACGAAGGCCAGGGGAGCAACGGG
rnacentral:rRNA from 1 species